rnacentral:rRNA from 1 species
CUUUUUUAUAGACUGGAUUUAUAUAUUUAUAACUAAAAUUAGGUUAAAUUUUUUUUUUACAGAGUUAAAUAUUUAGAUUGAUGAAAGAUGUAUAAUAGUGACAGGGAUUAGAUACCCCAUUAAUGUACAUUGUAGCUUUGUCUUAGUUAAUAUAACUAAAAUAAUUUGGCAGUGAGCGACUCUUUUUAGGGGAAGGUGUGGUGUAAAGGAUGUUCCGCCUAAUAAUUUACUUUCGUUAUGUUGGUGUAUAUCUGGUUUAAUAUUAUCGUUGAGUAAGUGAGUUUGUGUAGUUUUAUUUAAGCCAAGUCUAUGUGCUGCUUAUGGAAGUAUUCAUGCGUUACAUUUAUAAGGUUUUGGUUGUAACACUAAAAUAUUUAGGACUUAAAAGUAAUGUUCAAUAAGUUUGUGAGUGUGAAGUAAGUUUAGCUCAUGUACACACCGCCCGUCACCCUCGAUGCAUAUUGAGGUAAGUCGUAACAAGGUAAUU